rnacentral:misc_RNA from 1 species
GAACGCAUCUUGCGCCCCGUGGCAUUCCGCGGGGCAUGUCUGUUUGAGUGUCGUUUGACCUCUCAACCGCUUUGGUAUUCGAUUACAAAAGUCGGCUUGGAACUUGGGUGCCUCUGGCGAAACGCAAAAGGGCCUCGGCCCUGUCGCCCACCCCAAAGUCAGUUGGGCCAACCGCGCGGAUGAGCGGACGGUUUGACCACAGUGUUGUAAGGUUCGCCUCACUGUCGGGACGUCCAUUUCCGUCGCUAUAAGGCAUUUGAAACACGAUACUAAUGAUUUUGACCUCAAAUCAGACAGGAUUACCCGCUGAACUUAAG